GAAUUUUAUAUAAAUGGAGAACCUAUGGAAUGGAAUAUCUACUGAAGGUGUAGAAUCGCGUGACCUACAGGUGUUUUGUGACGAGAUACCUACAAAUCCUAUUCCUGAAGUAGAAUAUUAUUGGACAGGAAAAAAAUAUCUUAUAGUAUAUUAUGGACAUCAAUAUUUUAAAUUAAAACCCCGUGUGGAGGUUUGAAGGCAA